rnacentral:rRNA from 1 species
UGGGGAAUAUUGCGCAAUGGGGGAAACCCUGACGCAGCGACGCCGCGUGCGGGAUGAAGGCCUUCGGGUUGUAAACCGCCUUUGAUUGGGAGCAAGCUUUCGUGUGAGUGUACCUUUCGAAUAAGCGCCGGCUAACUACGUGCCAGCAGCCGCGGUAAUACCUAUGGCGCAAGCGUUAUCCGGAACUAUUGGGCGUAAAGUGCUUGUAGGCGGUUCGUCGCGGCUGGUGUGAAAGCCCAUCGCUUAACGGUGGGUUUGCGCCGGGUACGGGCGGGCUAGAGUGAAGUAGGGGAGACUGGAAUUCCCGGUGUAACGGUGGAAUGUGUAGAUAUCGGGAAGAACACCAAUGGCGAAGGCAGGUCUCUGGGCUGUUACUGACGCUGAGAAGCGAAAGCGUGGGGAGCGAACAGG